rnacentral:tRNA from 1 species
AGCUCCGAGGUGUACUCACAUGUUAGAUUGCAAAUCUAGAGAAGCAGGUUAGCGCCUGCCGGGGCUU